rnacentral:rRNA from 1 species
UACGUAGGGUGCGAGCGUUAAUCGGAAUUACUGGGCGUAAAGCGUGCGCAGGCGGUUAUGUAAGACAGAUGUGAAAUCCCAGGGCUUAACCUUGGAACUGCAUUUGUGACUGCAUAGCUAGAGUACGGUAGAGGGGGAUGGAAUUCCGCGUGUAGCAGUGAAAUGCGUAGAUAUGCGGAGGAACACCGAUGGCGAAGGCAAUCCCCUGGACCUGUACUGACGCUCAUGCACGAAAGCGUGGGGAGCAAACAGG